rnacentral:tRNA from 1 species
GGGCCCGUAGUUUUAUGGAGUAAAAUGCUACCUUUGGUAAGUAGAGUAGCGGGUGCAAAUCCCGCCGGGUCCA